rnacentral:rRNA from 1 species
UACGGGGGAUGCAAGCGUUAUCCGGAUUUAUUGGGUUUAAAGGGUGCGUAGGCUGUGAGGUAAGUCAGCGGUGAAAUGCCACCGCUCAACGGGGUGAAGUGCCAUUGAUACUGCCUUGCUGGAAUGCGGAUGCCGUGGGAUGAAUGUGUGGUGUAGCGGUGAAAUGCAUAGAUAUCACACAGAACACCGAUUGCGAAGGCAUCUCACGAAUCCGCGAUUGACGCUGAUGCACGAAAGCGUGGGUAUCAAACAGG